GGGGAAUAUUGGACAAUGGGCGCAAGCCUGAUCCAGCAAUGCCGCGUGGGUGAAGACGGCCUGCGGGUUGUAAAGCCCUUUAGGCGGGGAGGAACGGUCGGGUGCCAAUACCACCCGGCGCUGACGUUACCCGCAGAAUAAGCACCGGCUAACUCCGUGCCAGCAGCCGCGGUAAUACGGAGGGUGCGAGCGUUAAUCGGAAUUACUGGGCGUAAAGCGUGCGUAGGCGGUAGCGUCAGUCAGCCGUGAAAGCCCCGGGCUUAACCUGGGAACGGCGGUUGAGACGGCGCAACUAGAGUGGGCUAGAGGAUCGUGGAAUUCCGGGUGUAGCGGUGAAAUGCGUAGAGAUCCGGAGGAACACCGAUGGCGAAGGCAGCGGUCUGGGGCCACACUGACGCUGAGGCACGACAGCGUGGGGAGCAAAC
rnacentral:rRNA from 1 species